GCAGACACAUUCCAGCCAAUCAGCAGCAGACCCUCCCUCCCAGACCCUCCCACCUCCUGGACAGCUCACUAAGAAUGCAGCUUCACAAUGAAUGUAAAAUGGAUGCUGUCCAGGAGGUGGGAGGGUCUGGGAGGGAGGGUCUGCUGCUGAUUGGCUGGAGUGUGUCUG